rnacentral:rRNA from 1 species
GACGAACGCUGGCGGCGUGCUUAACACAUGCAAGUCGAACGGAAAGGCCCUGCUUUUGUGGGGUGCUCGAGUGGCGAACGGGUGGGUAACACGUGAGUAACCUGCCCUUGACUUUGGGAUAACUUCAGGAAACUGGGGCUAAUACCGGAUAGGAGCUCCUGCUGCAUGGUGGGGGUUGGAAAGUUUCGGCGGUUGGGGAUGGACUCGCGGCUUAUCAGCUUGUUGGUGGGGUAGUGGCUUACCAAGGCUUUGACGGGUAGCCGGCCUGAGAGGGUGACCGGCCACAUUGGGACUGAGAUACGGCCCAGACUCCUACGGGAGGCAGCAGUGGGGAAUAUAGCACAAUGGGCGGAAGCCUGAUGCAGCAACGCCGCGUGCGGGAUGACGGCCUUCGGGUUGUAAACCGCUUUCGCCUGUGACGAAGCGUGAGUGACGGUAAUGGGUAAAGAAGCACCGGCUAACUACGUG